UACGAAGGGGGGCUAGCGUUGUUCGGAAUCACUGGGCGUAAAGCGCACGUAGGCGGACUUUUAAGUCAGAGGUGAAAUCCCAAGGCUCAACCUUGGAACUGCCUUUGAUACUGGGAGUCUUGAGGUCGAGAGAGGUGAGUGGAACUGCGAGUGUAGAGGUGAAAUUCGUAGAUAUUCGCAAGAACACCAGUGGCGAAGGCGGCUCACUGGCUCGAUUCUGACGCUGAGGUGCGAAAGCGUGGGGAGCAAACA
rnacentral:rRNA from 1 species